rnacentral:rRNA from 1 species
GACGAACGCUGGCGGCGUGCCUAAUACAUGCAAGUCGAACGCAGUUGGGACGGGUGAGUAACACGUGGGUAACCUCCCAUCAGAGGGGAUAACACCUGGAAACAGGUGCUAAACCGAUACUGAUGGAUGGACCCGCGGGGCAUUAGCUAGUUGGUGAGGUAACGGCUCACAAAGGCCACGAUUCAUAGCCUGCCUGAGAGGUUGAGCGUCCACACGGGGACUGAGACACGGCCCAGACUCCGACGGGAGGCAGCAGUAGGGAAUCUUCGGCAAUGGACGAAAGUCUGACCUAGCAACGCCGCGUGAGUGAAGAAGGUUUUCGGAUCGUAAAACUCUGUUGUUAGAGAAGCGGUAUCUAACCAGAAAGUCACGGCUAACUACGUGCCAGCAGCCGCGGUAAUAC